rnacentral:lncRNA from 1 species
GCACUAUUUGGAGAGAGAGAAGAUAAUGAAAGAAUGCUAGCAAAUGCUAGCAGUCCUCACUAUCCAUCCGCCUCAGCCCCAAAGUUCACAGCAAUGGAAAAGGAGCAAGUGGCUUGAUCUGGGUGUCAAUUAAAACAGAUUUCUCUGUCUGCAAUCUCAAAUGCUAUGUAUUUGAAAGAAACUGUAAGGUUUAUAAACAUAGCUUCUUCACCAACCAUUCUAAUUUAUUCACGUUUCCCUCACCAGUCACUGUGAAAGGGGCUGAGGGGACGGCAUGUUUCUAAGUCUGGACUCUGGCGUGUGC